AGUUACCAUUGUCAUCCUUUGUGGUGACUGGUUGCCAUGGCAACAGGGACACCAGCCAUCCACAGAGCUCUGGGUCAAUGUGCACCUGGGGUUUAGUUAGGUAGCCCUGGUGGUGGUGGGAGCGGCUGGGGGUGGGGGAAGUCAGAUUGCUGUAAGGGCGUUCCCUUGAAGCAGGCAUCUGAGAAGGGGAUAGCCUCGAAAUCUUCCCCUCCCCUGACUCCGGAGCCAAAUCAGGACUCCAGGACAAUGGCACAUGUGAUUACACGUCACUUGGAAGGAUCACGACCCUCACACAGUGGCGCAGGUGCUGAACUCAUCUCUUUACAGUGUAAAACUGGAUCAUGGCAAUCCUGUGCUUAGAAGACAUUGGUGGCCUCCCAUUGCACUUAAGAUAAACCACAGAAUCCCUGUCUGCGCCUCUCAUCUGUGUACAGCUGCCCGCUUGCUGUCAAGGCCACAGUCAAUCAAUGGUCACUGCAGCCUCCACUCCACAUCCUGAGCACACCAAGGACGUUCCUUCACACAGACUGGAGCCGCUACCCAGCAUUCUUUUCAUCCAGAUCCCUGGUUCCCACUUGGUUCUUCCCUGGCCUAUCCUUCAAACACAGGGUUGAAUACUCCCCACCUUAGAAGCCUUCUCAUGCCCUCCCAGUCUAAACCAGCUCCCCUGGAAUCCCCUCCCAUUGGAUCACCCUCUUCUCCCCUGACUUUAUCAUAGUUUAGGAUUAUAGAUUCAUUUCUGUAUUUAGUUAUUACAUGUUGUCUCUUCUGGAAAGUAA